rnacentral:rRNA from 1 species
CGAACGGGUGAGUAACGCGUGAGGAACCUGCCUCAAAGAGGGGGACAACAGUUGGAAACGACUGCUAAUACCGCAUAAGCCCACGGCUCGGCAUCGAGCAGAGGAAAAAGGAGCAAUCCGCUUUGAGAUGGCCUCGCGUCCGAUUAGCUAGUUGGUGAGGUAACGGCCCACCAAGGCGACGAUCGGUAGCCGGACUGGGAGGUUGAACGGCCACAUUGGGACUGAGACACGGCCCAG